GAUGAACGCUGGCGGCGUGCCUAAUACAUGCAAGUCGAGCGAACAGACGAGGAGCUUGCUCCUCUGACGUUAGCGGCGGACGGGUGAGUAACACGUGGAUAACCUACCUAUAAGACUGGGAUAACUUCGGGAAACCGGAGCUAAUACCGGAUAAUAUAUUGAACCGCAUGGUUCAAUAGUGAAAGACGGUUUUGCUGUAACUUAUAGAUGGAUACGCGCCGCAUUAGCUAGUUGGUAAGGUAACGGCUUACCAAGGCGACGAUGCGUAGCCGACCUGAGAGGGUGAUCGGCCACACUGGAACUGAAACACGGUCCAGACUCCUACGGGAGGCAGCAGUAGGGAAUCUUCCGCAAUGGGCGAAAGCCUUACGGAGCAACGCCGCGUGAGUGAUGAAGGUCUUCGGAUCGUAAAACUCUGUUAUUAGGUAAAAACAAAUGUGUAAGUAACUAUGCACGUCUUGACGGUACCGAAUCAGAAAGCCACGGCUAACUACGUG
rnacentral:rRNA from 1 species